rnacentral:rRNA from 1 species
UACGGGGGGAGCAAGCGUUGUUCGGAUUUACUGGGCGUAAAGGGCGCGUAGGCGGCCUAGCAAGUCACUUGUGAAAUCUCCGGGCUUAACUCGGAACUGCCAAGUGAAACUGCCAGGCUAGAGUGCAGAAGGGGCAAUCGGAAUUCUUGGUGUAGCGGUGAAAUGCGUAGAUAUCAAGAGGAACACCUGAGGUGAAGACGGGUUGCUGGGCUGACACUGACGCUGAGGCGCGAAAGCCAGGGGAGCAAACGGG